GGGUUUAGCUCAGUUGGUAGAGCGCCGGUCUCCAAAACCGAAGGUCAAGAGUUCGAGUCUCUUAGCC
rnacentral:tRNA from 1 species